CCUGCGGAAGGAUCAUUAAUGAAUUCACUAUGGAGUUGUUGCUGGCCUCUAGGGGCAUGUGCACGCUUCACUAGUCUUUCAACCACCUGUGAACUUUUGAUAGAUCUGUGAAGUCGUCUUUCAAGUCGUCAGACUUGGUUUGCUGGGAUUUAAACGUCUCGGUGUGACAACGCAGUCUAUUUACUUAACACACCCCAAAUGUAUGUCUACGAAUGUCAUUUAAUGGGCCUUGUGCCUAUAAACCAUAAUACAACUUUCAACAACGGAUCUCUUGGCUCUCGCAUCGAUGAAGAACGCAGCGAAAUGCGAUAAGUAAUGUGAAUUGCAGAAUUCAGUGAAUCGUCGAAUCUUUGAACGCACCUUGCGCCCCUUGGUAUUCCGAGGGGCAUGCCUGUUUGAGUGUCAUUAAAUUCUCAAACUCACUUUGGUUUUUUCCAAUUGUGAUGUUUGGAUUGUUGGGGGCUGCUGGCCUUGACAGGUCGGCUCCUCUUAAAUGCAUUAGCAGGACUUCUCAUUGCCUCUGCGCAUGAUGUGAUAAUUAUCACUCAUCAAUAGCACGCAUGAAUAGAGUCCAGCUCUCUAAUCGUCCGCAAGGACAAUUUGACAAUUUGACCUC
rnacentral:rRNA from 1 species